UUGAUCUCAAAUCAGGUAGGACUACCCGCUGAACUUAAGCAUAUCAAUAAGCGGAGGAAAAGAAACUAACAAGGAUUCCCCUAGUAACUGCGAGUGAAGCGGGAAGAGCUCAAAUUUAAAAUCUGGUGUGCCUCUGGUCACCCGAGUUGUAGUCUGGAGAAGCGUUUUCUGUGUUGGGCCGUGUAUAAGUCCCUUGGAACAGGGCGUCAUAGAGGGUGAGAAUCCCGUCUUUGACACGGACUGCCAAUGCUUUGUGAUGCGCUCUCAAAGAGUCGAGUUGUUUGGGAAUGCAGCUCAAAAUGGGUGGUAAAUUC
rnacentral:rRNA from 1 species